GGGGCCUGUGAUGAUCUGUCAAAAUUUGCCUACAUUGGUUGAUUCUCAUUCAUGAUAAGAAUCUAUGACUGUUCUGAGGCCUCC